AAAGAUUUACCAGGAGGAAAACUACAGACACAUCACACACAGCCAGAUCAAAUAAGUGCUUAGAGAAAUGGAUGAGUCCGCUGGCUAGGUGAGUUUAUGCUGCGCUGUGAUUGGCUGCUGGCCGUGAGCUCAUUGUUUUUCUGCUGGUCUCUGGGCUCAUAGUAAGCAAAGGACCGAGGCCCGUUCCACUAUGGAGCCGCAAACUCUGAUCCGCUAGAUUCACAUCAACAGACUUUAAACCAGGUUUACCGUGAAGAAACUGGGAAAAACCGCUUCAAAGG